CCGAGCGUUAUCCGGAGUGACUGGGCGUAAAGAGUUGCGUAGGCGGUUUGUUAAGCGAAUAGUGAAAUCUGGUGGCUCAACCAUACAGACUAUUAUUCGAACUGGCAAACUCGAGAGUAGCAGAGGUAACUGGAAUUUCUAGUGUAGGAGUGAAAUCCGUAGAUAUUAGAAGGAACACCGAUGGCGUAGGCAGGUUACUGGGCUAUUUCUGACGCUAAGGCACGAAAGCGUGGGGAGCGAACCGGAUUAGAUACCCGGGUAGUCCACGCCGUAAACGAUGGAUACUAGCUGUUGGAGGUAUCGACCCCUUCAGUAGCGAAGCUAACGCGUUAAGUAUCCCGCCUGUGUAGUACGAUCGCAAGAUUAAAACAUAAAGGAAUUGACGGGGACCCGCACAAGCGGUGGAGCGUGUUCUUUAAUUCGAUGAUAAACGAAGAACCUUACCCAGGCUUGACAUCCCUUGAAUUUUGUCGAAAGACGAAAGUGCUUUUAGAACAAGGUGACAGGUGUUGCAUGGCCGUCGUCAGCUCGUGUCGUGAGAUGUUUGGUUAAGUCCAUCAACGAGCGCAACCCUUAUGAAUAGUUGUAUUUUUCUAUUCAGACUGCCCCGGUAACGGGGAGGAAGGAGGGGAUGACGUCAGGUCAGUAUUGCCCUUACGUCUGGGGCUAGAAACGCGCUACAAUGGCUGGUACAAUGCGCAGCGAAGCGGUGACGUGAAGCAAAUCGCAUCAAAGCCAGUCCCAGUUCGGAUUGUAGGCUGAAACUCGCCUGCAUGAAGUCGGAAUCGCUAGUAAUCGCAGAUCAGCAAGCUGCGGUGAAUACGUUCCCGGGUCUUGUACACACCGCCCGUCAAACCAUGAAAGUGACCAACACCCGAAGUCCGAUUCGUCGGCCUAAGGUGGGGGGCAUGAUUGGGGUUAAGUCGUAACAAGGUAUCCGUACCGGAAGGUGCGGAUGGAUUACCUCCUUUCU
rnacentral:rRNA from 1 species